rnacentral:rRNA from 1 species
UUUGCGGUUAAAAAGCUCGUAGUUGGAUCUCGGCAAGUAGAGGGCGGUAUGCUUCGUAGCAUUACUGCCCUAUUACUUGUAGUUUUGCCAGAGGUUCCUGGGUGCUCUUAAUCGAGUGUCUAGGGAUGCUGGCAGGUUUACUUUGAAAAAAUUAGAGUGCUCAAAGCAGGCUAUUACGCUUGAAUAUUCGUGCAUGGAAUAAUAGAAUAGGAAGUUGUUUCUAUUUCGUUGGUUUUCGGAAAUCGACUUAAUGAUUAAUAGGGACAGUCGGGGGCAUUUGUAUUCAAACGACAGAGGUGAAAUUCUUGGACCGUUUGAAGACAAACUACUGCGAAAGCAUUUGCCAAGAAUGUUUUC